rnacentral:rRNA from 1 species
UGGGGAAUAUUGCACAAUGGGCGCAAGCCUGAUGCAGCCAUGCCGCGUGUAUGAAGAAGGCCUUCGGGUUGAAAAGUACUUUCAGUCGGGAGGAAGGUGGUAAGGUUAAUAACCUUAUCAAUUGACGUUACCGACAGAAGAAGCACCGGCUAACUCCGUGCCAGCAGCCGCGGUAAUACGGAGGGUGCAAGCGUUAAUCGGAAUUACUGGGCGUAAAGCGCACGCAGGCGGUUGAUUGAGUCAGAUGUGAAAUCCCCGGGCUUAACCCGGGAAUUGCAUCUGAUACUGGUCAGCUAGAGGCUUGUAGAGGGGGGUAGAAUUCCAUGUGUAGCGGUGAAAUGCGUAGAGAUGUGGAGGAAUACCGGUGGCGAAGGCGGCCCCCUGGACAAAGACUGACGCUCAGGUGCGAAAGCGUGGGGAGCAAACAGG